rnacentral:rRNA from 1 species
AGUGAACGCUGGCGGUAGGCCUAACACAUGCAAGUCGAACGGCAGCACAGUAAGAGCUUGCUCUUACGGGUGGCGAGUGGCGGACGGGUGAGGAAUACAUCGGAAUCUACUUUUUCGUGGGGGCUAACGUAGGGAAACUUACGCUAAUACCGCAUACGACCUACGGGUGAAAGCAGGGGAUCUUCGGACCUUGCGCGAUUGAAUGAGCCGAUGUAGGAUUAGCUAGUUGGCGGGGUAAAGGCCCACCAAGGCGACGAUCCGUAGCUGGUCUGAGAGGAUGAUCAGCCACACUGGAACUGAGAAACGGUCCAGACUCCUACGGGAGGAAGCAGUGGAGAAUAUUGGACGAAGGGGGCGAACCUGAUCCAGCCAUACCGCGUGGGUGAAGAAGGCCUUCGGGUUGUAGAGCCCUUUUGUUGGGAAAGAAAAGCAGCAGGUUAAUACCCCGCUGUUCUGACGGUACCCAAAGAAUAAGCACCGGCUAACUUCGUG